rnacentral:rRNA from 1 species
AAUUWCAAUCACCUGAUGGGGAAACGGGCUAUGGCCUUGAUCCUUGUCCCUUGUCGGCGUGCGUUUGUGCCGCUCCGAAUGGAACGCCAUUGAUGUUUUGUUGACAAGUUAACCAACCCCGGCACGGAAUGUGCCAAGGAAAAAGAAAACAAAAGAAGGUUGUACCCGGUUUUUGCCCCGUUCGCGGUGUGCAUGCUGGUUGUGACMUCUUUGAAACAAAAACGACUCUCGGCAACGGAUAUCUCGGCUCACGCAUCGAUGAAGAACGUAGCAAAAUGCGAUACUUGGUGUGAAUUGCAGAAUCCCGUGAACCAUCGAGUUUUUGAACGCAAGUUGCGCCCAAAGCCAUCCGGUUGAGGGCACGCCUGCCUGGGCGUCACGCAUCGCGUCGCUCCCCCAUGUAUAUCAGAUUUGGGAUGCAUGGCGUCGGGGCGGAGAUUGGUCUCCCGUGAACCUGUUGCGGUUGGCCCAAACAYGAGUCACCUUCGGUUGACGCACGGCUAGUGGUGGUUGAAUAGGUGGGC